CUCUCGGACCUCUCCAGGGAAAUAAAAGAACGUAUUUAUAUCUACGUCUGGAUAGCGCCGGGAAACGUUCUAUAGAUGGAACUCCUGACGACGGGGCAUCUAGUUUAUGCGAUUAAUCCGUGCGUAACAGGGAGGCAUUGAUCACGUGAUCAAACACUGGCCUUGAUAUGGAGUCUUUGAUGAGAAUGACGUUGAUGCUUUUGGACAGCUAGAGCUACUUACCUUUAGAACUACAUUUUUAUAUAUUGUUGGAUGAUCAACGCAACUAAUCACAAACAUAACAAAGACCAUAGACUCGUCCUCAACCAAACAUCCUAAUCUCGGUCCCUAGUUCCUCACUCAUCCUGUACUUCGUACCCUUUCUUAGUCGUAUUCUCGUUUGACCGCUGUCCUUAACAUCACUCAUCCUCCGGAAUUAUAUUUUAUCCUCAUAUAAAAGCCCGGAAAAACCCAAGAACCAGACAGAAUUCAGUAUUCACCGGCAAGUGCGGACGUAGUUGUAUAAAUAAAAACGUUUAACACGUUGACUGCCAAGAAAGUACUCUUGAUCAUUUCUAUUGGAAUUUAAUUUUGUUUACAGACAAUUGGAAACUCCAUAAUCAAACAUUUAUUGUGCUGUUUGUUUAUGUAACUUCAACGAAAUUUAAGAACUUCAUUCAAAUUUAUUUACUUUGACGUUUGACUUUCAGAAUUAAUUUUUGUAGUAGUUCUUAAAAUUCUUUAGUUUAAAAAUUGUACACUAUGACGAAGUUACCUUUUGAACAAAUAAUAAAAUGAAUGUUUGUUUCCAUUCAAGUGCUGAUAGCUAGCUGUUUAUAUGUUUACCUACUUUUCUGUACAGCUGUCAGUAAUACUAUAACAGCGAAUUGUUUUCUUUGUUGUUACAAGCUCGUCAUUGAGCACUUAAGGUAAGGGUCGGUUACUUUCACCGUUUCCAAGGCAGAAUCGAUUACUUUUGGUCCGAUAUUGCUGACGCACAGGUAUGGCAGGUACCUUCAAAGUAAUGGUACUCCCAAGCAGUCAUUCUGACGCCAGUCUAAUUAUGGACAUCUUAUUCGUAACUCUAGGUCAGGUAUGAAAAACCAGUAUUCUUAAUCUGCCCUUCGUCCUCAAGGAUUAUUUAUCAACUGUGGCCUUCUGCGAAUUUGUCAGAAAAUCUUAUGCUCGUUACCCUGUUUUGGCACAAUGCGUAAAACUAUUCAAUACCUAAUUUAUAAAGGACUAACUGAAGUUACGGGCAUGGACAUUAAAAUCACAUUUUUAUAAAACAAUUACUGACUAGCUUUUCAAAAAUAUCACACCUACUUUUAGUUGGCUUGCAGAACAAAUAAACGUCGUUGACGAAGUGUAUCGCCACCACCAGUGGGUGUUGAGUAAAUAAAUGUUUGGAAAUGGCUGCAAAAACAUAUCCAGCGGAUUUAAAUCUAGAAAACGACCAAGCCAAGCAAUAGAUCCCGCGUGACCUAUCCAUCUGUUAGAAAAUCGUUCGUUCAAGAACUGUCUGGUAUAUUCAGCUGAAAUGUGGCGGUAAACCGUCAUGCAUAAAUCACAUGCGAUGGUACAACAUCUAGUGGAACUUUCAAUAACUCACGCAAAUAAUUACUUAAGAAACUGACAUCCGAUCGACCUGUUAAUCCAGCAUUAAGGAAAACGUGGAACUUCCGAACAUUGCGUAUAAACAAUUGGGGAGAACCAGUUACGCUGACUCAGUUUCAGAUUGGAAAGUACGAAAUACACAAAAGGAAUGGCUGUAGCUUGUGGACAAAAGCAAAUCUUUUUAGUGAUCUCGAUUGCUAAAGACAGCGGCCACUGUGGUCACGAGAUUUUGAUAGAGAGCUGAGACGGCAUUAAUUGAUCGAAGCAGGUACAAGACCCGGAUUCGAAUCCCAGGUGCAACAACCUUAUUCUUUUCCCUGUUCGUCGAAGACACGAAUCAUCACGUGACGUAAUCACGACACUUUGCAUCGUUAAUGUAAAUGUAUGCGUCAUUUUCAAGGUUAUUGCUGCCAGAAUGUUUAUACGCCUAUGCAUUCAUGGAAGAAGUGAAUAGUGGUAGCUGAAAACAGGUAGUAGUUAAAAUAAAUAUAGUUAAGCGAGUUAAGUGAGUCAUUAGAGAUUGUUGGUGUGAAGUAAUCGAUACAUGACGUAGAUACACGGUAAACAUACCUUGUAAUUGUAACCAAUAAUAGAGACGUAAAGAGUAUACUCAUUGAUUUCUAACUGAUAAUUUAACACACGACUUUUACCAAUCAGUAUCCUAAAGCGUUAUGGCCAGCAGAGAAAAAGUAAUAAUAACUAGAUUGAGAACAAGACACUCAAAAAUCACACAUCCACAUCUACUAAAGUAAACGGAUCCUCCCACUGCGACUACUGUAAUAAGGAAAUUAAAAUCGACCACCUACUGUACGAGUGUAGAAAAUUUGAGCUACGGAGAAGGAAGUACAACUGGAAUCAAGAGACAGCUCUAAUAUCCCAGAAACAUGUACAAAACACCAUCAACUAUCUCAAGGAUACUAAACUCUACAAUAAUGCUCUGUCAUUGGAUUUCAACAAUUCAUCUUGUCUUUUCCUAUGUUGACUCACCGUACAUCGGACUUGUUACUAAUGGAAGCAAGAAUGUUUGGUUUUGCGGAAUACCGCACGGUAAGGGAAACGUUUCUCGGCUCCGUCGGCACCUACAUUUCGACCAACGGAAAUAGACCCUCUAAACUUUAGAGUCUAAAGAAUAAUUUA